rnacentral:rRNA from 1 species
UACAGAGGGUGCAAGCGUUAAUCGGAAUGACUGGGCGUAAAGGGCGCGUAGGCGGUAAAUUAAGCUGGAGGUGAAACCCCUGGGCUCAACCUGGGAAAUGCCUCCAGGACUGAUAUGCUAGAGUAGGGUAGAGGGAAGUGGAAUUUCCGGUGUAGCGGUGAAAUGCGUAGAUAUCGGAAAGAACACCAGUGGCGAAGGCGGCUUCCUGGACUCAUACUGACGCUGAGGCGCGAAAGCAUGGGAAGCAAACAGG